UCCUUGGUGGUCCAGUGGCUACGAUUGCACUCCCAAUGCAGGGGACCUAGGUUCAAUCCCUGGUCAGGGAA
rnacentral:tRNA from 1 species